rnacentral:rRNA from 1 species
GACGAACGCUGGCGGCGUGCCUAAUACAUGCAAGUCGAGCGGACUUUCAAGAAGCUUGCUUUUUGAAAGUUAGCGGCGGACGGGUGAGUAACACGUGGGCAACCUGCCUGCAAGACGGGGAUAACUCCGGGAAACCGGGGCUAAUACCGGAUAAUAUCUUCCUUCGCAUGAAGGAAGGUUGAAAGGCGGCGCAAGCUGCCGCUUGCAGAUGGGCCCGCGGCGCAUUAGCUAGUUGGUGAGGCAACGGCUCACCAAGGCGACGAUGCGUAGCCGACCUGAGAGGGUGAUCGGCCACACUGGGACUGAGACACGGCCCAGACUCCUACGGGAGGCAGCAGUAGGGAAUCUUCCGCAAUGGACGAAAGUCUGACGGAGCAACGCCGCGUGAGCGAAGAAGGUCUUCGGAUCGUAAAGCUCUGUUGUCAGGGAAGAACAAGUACCGUUCGAACAGGGCGGUACCUUGACGGUACCUGACCAGAAAGCCACGGCUAACUACGUG